rnacentral:rRNA from 1 species
CAGUCCCGCGGUAAUACAGAGGGUGCGAGCGUUAAUCGGAUUUACUGGGCGUAAAGCGUGCGUAGGCGGCUUCUUAAGUCGGAUGUGAAAUCCCUGAGCUUAACUUAGGAAUUGCAUUCGAUACUGGGAAGCUAGAGUAUGGGAGAGGAUGGUAGAAUUCCAGGUGUAGCGGUGAAAUGCGUAGAGAUCUGGAGGAAUACCGAUGGCGAAGGCAGCCAUCUGGCCUAAUACUGACGCUGAGGUACGAAAGCAUGGGGAGCAAACAGGAUUAGAGACCCGCGUAGUCCCUGUCUCUUAUACC